UACGUAGGGUGCGAGCGUUGUCCGGAAUUAUUGGGCGUUAAAGGGCGCGUAAGGCGGUUGGGAUAAGUCUUGUGUGAAAUCUUCGGGCUCAACUCGAAGUCUGCACGAGAAACUAUCUGGCUUGAGUGUGGGAGAGGUGAGUGGAAUUCCUGGUGUAGCGGUGAAAUGCGUAGAUAUCAGGAGGAACACCUGUGGCGAAAGCGGCUCACUGGACCACAACUGACGCUGAGGCGCGAAAGCUAGGGGAGCAAACAGG
rnacentral:rRNA from 1 species